rnacentral:rRNA from 1 species
ACGGGACCCGCGACAAGCGGUGGAUGAUGUGGAUUAAUUCGAUGCAACGCGAAAAACCUUACCGUACGCUUGGACAUGCCAGGAACUUUCCAGAGAUGGAUUGGUGCCCGAAAGGGAACCUGGACACAGGUGCUGCAUGGCUGUCGUCAGCUCGUGUCGUGAGAUGUUUGGGUUAAGUCCCGCAACGAGCGCAACCCUUUUCCUUAGUUGCUACGCAAGGGCACUCUAGGGAGUACUGCCGGUGACAAACCGGAGGAAGGUGGGGAUGACGUCAAGUCCUCGAUGGCCCUUAUGUGUAGGGCUUCACACGUCAUACAAUGGUCGGUACAGAGGGUCGCCAACCCGCGAGGGGGAGCCAAAUCCCAGAAAACCGAUCGUAGUCCGGAUCGCACUCUGCAACUCGAGUGCGUGAAGUCGGAAUCGCUAGUAAUCGCGGAUCAGCAUGUCGCGGUGAAUACGUUCCCGGGUCUU